GAUGAAGAACGUAGCGAAAUGCGAUAAGUAAUGUGAAUUGCAGAAUUCAGUGAAUCAUCGAAUCUUUGAACGCACAUUGCGCCCGCCAGUAUUCUGGCGGGCAUGCCUGUUCGAGCGUCAUUUCAACCCUCAGACCCCCAGUGCCUGGUGUUGGGGAUCGGCCCAGCCUUCCUGUAAGGCCGCCGGCCCCGAAAUCUAGUGGCGGUCUCGCUGUAGUCCUCCUCUGCGUAGUAGCACAACCUCGCAGUUGGAACGCGGCGGUGGCCAUGCCGUUAAACACCCCACUUCUGAAAGUUGACCUCGGAUCAGGUAGGAAUACCCGCUGAACUUAAGCAUAUCAAUAAGCGGAGGA
rnacentral:misc_RNA from 1 species